GUCUUCCUUUAACUUCCCUCUAGUAUUUCAGCAUCCUUCUUGCAGAUACCUCUUGGUACUCUGAGCGCAGCGGUUUGAUCCAGUUUGUUUUGCCAAAGUGAAAACAGCUGUGACAUGAGGGAGAGAGAGUUGUUGGAUAAACAAAACAAUUCUUGUUUGGGUUUAUAUUUUUAAACUUACCUACUUCCAGUAAUUGUUGUUUCUUUUGCUUCUCUGAAGGGAAUAAAUUGUGUUUAAUAGGUAAACAACCAUGCACUUGACUUACAUGAGAAGCAGCUACCAGGCUAUGCUUGCUCCUUCGUGCCUAGACGUCUGCGAUCCAAUCUGUCUGUCCAGGAACAGCUAUAGACUUGCUGUUCUCGCUGCUGACACUUCAGCUGACGGGAAUCAGAAUUCAUAUGGUACUGCAUCCCCCUGCAGAAACAAAGGCAAGCGCAAAUUUACAUGAACCUUUGUGAAUGUUUGAUCUAGCACAGUGCAUCGCUGAACAAUCUACAGUCGUAAACCAGUCUUCUAGGGACAGAAAUCCACAUCCACAAGAGGUCAAGUCCAGUCGUAGGAAGUUAAACUGUGGAGUAUCCAUGCUGGCAAUCCUAUUGUGGCUACCUGGGAAGAGUUUGAUACAGGUUGAAGAAUGUGUCAGCACGAAGUUCUUGCAUAAAGAUCAUUACCCUGUUUCUGGCUGGCUUGAAAGUUCUCCUGCAUUCUUGUUUGCCGUGAAGAUUAUUAGCAGAUGAAAUUCUGCAUGCUCAGAAAUAAUCCGGCUGGUACCCUUGCACAGGGCCAUGUAUCCGGACAGCGUGCCAGGCGGAGAUCCGUGACAUCCCUAAGGAAGAGCAAGGCUGUUGGCCAGCAGCGUCUCACAAGUUAAUGCUCGGGUGUAGAUUGGGAAAAAGAGACUGGCUUUUCCACACCACUGCAGCCAGGAGUGCAGCUUCGGUGAGAAGUAGGUGCUCAUCUUCACCACAAAUUCUGUUACCGGUGACCACGUGGAGCGCUCAGCGAUGCAGAAUCGUGCGGGGACGUGAAGCUCUUCCAAGUGUGUAGGAAAACUGGAUGAAAAGCUAGGAAAAGGUUUGUUGGUGCUGUUUGCUGCUUUUUUCCAGAGACGACUCCUUAAAUGCCUUGCCGUGUUGGGUGGAAGUUGUGUGUAACGGGAGCCUCAGAACAGGAAUGGGGUGAGCAGCGUGCUGCCUCGGCCGGCUGGAUUGUUUGGGAAGACUGGGGCUGGGCUGACAUUUAAAGCUGCUUUGUUUGAUUUUUCUUGUAAACCAGUUCCACCAAAUGUGAGAGCCGGGUUUAUUUUGAAGUCUAGCUGGUGGCUUCGGGGAAGCAGAUGUUUAAGUAGCUCGCUCCCGCUGAAAUGUGUCAACGUUUUGUGUGCUGCUAUUUCCAUGGAAACAGGCAGCCACGGUUUCAUCACUUCUUUGGGCCCCCACCUGAAGUACCUGAAAUAGGUGUUGACUGAGAGCUGCGGAUUGCCGAUGGCAAACUGUGCUUUUUUAAAGAAACCAUGAAGUGGCUCAUGAAACCCCGUGCGGGUAACUUGGAGUUGGUGACCUUCAGCGGCAUGUGAAGUUGAAGCAAGCCCCACUUCCCUGGGCUGCUCUGUUUGCCUUUGGGCACAUUGGCUUUAGGAAUCAUCCGCUUUUACCCCCUCUCACCCUUGCGACAGCAUUAAAAAGUAGGAUUCAACUUGCGGGACUCGUUGCUUCCCAGGAUAUUAUACAGUGAUCGGAUCUUGCAUGGAGUUGAGGACGAGGAGCUCCAGGAAUUCCUGAAAAACGAAGGCGCCUCCAAUCGUCAUCUUGCAUCUUCAGCUGCGCUGUUCAGACGUUGGAAUUUCUUUUCCAGCCCAAGCAUGGUUAGAGACCAAUGCCAAUCACAUAUCCCAGGUCCCGCAGCGGAGCGGUUCCCAGCGGGUGAAGGGCUGUUGGGAGCGAGGCCCGGAGCGGGAGAGGAGGUGCUGCAGGUCUGGAGGCCUGGCCCAAGGACGAGGGAGGAGCAGGGAGCUGCAGGGGAUGACCCCGCUGUCAACGCAGUCUGGAAGAGGCUGCUGGCAUGGCGUGAGGAGGAGGAGGAGGGCAGCGAGGAAAAAUGGCAAGGAGGAACUGGAACGAGAAGGUGGCACGGGACUGACCGGGGGGGUGGAGGAAGCGGCGGGGGCCGUAUGCAAGAGGGGAGAUGGCUUGGGAAACAGCUCUAACAAAGCCACCUACAAACAAACCGACCAUGGGGGAAAAAAAAAA